UCUUAUCAAGAGUGGUGGAGGGAUGUGCCCGAUGAAGCCCGGCAACCGUCAAGUAAUUGAAAAGGUGCCAAUUCACACAAAGUUUUUUAACUUUGAAAGAUGAGA
rnacentral:ncRNA from 1 species